rnacentral:rRNA from 1 species
UGGCGAACGGGUGAGUAACACGUGGGUGAUCUGCCUGCACUUAGGGAUAAGCUUGGGAAACUGGGUCUAAUACCGGAUAGGACCAUCGUUCAGUGUCGGUGGUGGAAAGUUUUUUCGGUGUGGGAUGAGCUCGCGGCCUAUCAGCUUGUUGGUGGGGUAAUGGCCUACCAAGGCGUCGACGGGUAGCCGGCCUGAGAGGGUGUACGGCCACAUUGGGACUGAGAUACGGCCCAG